GUUGGGCCGCUUUGUUCCGCGUCGCUCUCCACCCUCUCGGCCAACGGCAAAUCUAACCGACCUGAGCUGGAGUGGGGACGCUGGGAGUAGAAAUGCCCUGAGAGCGUCCUGGCGGAGGCGCAGAAAAGACAUGGUGGUGAGGCGCUUGGGUUUGGAGACGCACAAAACUGGGUUCUUUGAGCUCAGUUGCUCCCCGUGAAUUUGGAAUAAUGCACUAUCCAGAGCAUUUUCUCGAAUUAGGAGUUAAUUCGAUCCAGUGCGCCUUCCUCGGCACACUAGAAGACGGAAGCUCAAUGAGAUUAAGAAGUUUGCCCACGGUCAGACAGCUAGAAAGUGCCCGAACUGGGAGUUGAAGUUCAUUUGCGAGUGACCAGGAAUCAAAAUGCUCAUCUCAAGACUUAAUGAAGCUCAGGUUCUUUAUGUCUUGGCACAGAAGGAAUUCAGCGAGAGGCAAAGUGAUAGGU